rnacentral:lncRNA from 1 species
AUUUCCGGCGCGUUUCUCGGCGAAAUUCGCCGACGGAAUGCGGGUUCGGUACGAAAUUCUUCCGACGGCGCUUCAUGAUGAUUGGUUAUGUCGCUGAGCCUUGUUGGCUGAUCAACCACGUCAUUUCGAGGCUUCGGAAAUGACGGGUGAGCGACGGUGGGUUCCGGUGUCGAAUUUGGCACUUCCGAGAACCCGAAUCGGGACGAUUAUUUGUCGAUAAUCGUUUCGGAGCGAGUUAGUGUUCUGGCUGCCAAGUGACAUGAAAAUAUGUGUUUAGUUGCAGCGGGUAACUCGUGGUACAAGUCGGUGAGUUCCAGGACAGUUCGUGGGUCCCGGCGGAGUCUCAGUGCGAUUUUCGGGACUUCCGGCGAGUUACGGUAAUUAGUUUCGGGAAACCGAUCUCUGUGGCAUUAUUUGUGGAGUUGUGAUACUGUGGUUAUUAGUUCUGGGUUAGAUACUAAUCUGGUGAACCCUCUUUAGGUCCGGUUGACAUUCUUUCGCAAUCAGG